UACGUAGGGGGCAAGUGUUGUCCGGAUUUAUUGGGCGUAAAGAGCGUGUAGGCGGCCAGAUAGGUCCGUUGUGAAAACUGGAGGCUUAACCUCCAGCUGUCGAUGGAAACCAUCUGGCUAGAGUCCGGAAGAGGAGAGUGGAAUUCCUGGUGUAGCGGUGAAAUGCGCAGAUAUCAGGAAGAACACCCGUGGCUAAGGCGGCUCUCUAGUACGGUACUGACGCUGAGACGCGAAAGCGUGGGGAGCGAACAGG
rnacentral:rRNA from 1 species